GACGAACGCUGGCGGCGUGCUUAACACAUGCAAGUCGAACGGAAAGGCCUCUUUCGGGGGGUACUCGAGUGGCGAACGGGUGAGUAACACGUGAGUAACCUGCUCUUGACUUUGGGAUAACUUCAGGAAACUGGGGCUAAUACCGGAUAGGAGCUCCUGCUGCAUGGUGGGGGUUGGAAAGUUUCGGCGGUUGGGGAUGGACUCGCGGCUUAUCAGCUUGUUGGUGGGGUAGUGGCUUACCAAGGCUUUGACGGGUAGCCGGCCUGAGAGGGUGACCGGCCACAUUGGGACUGAGAUAUGGCCCAGACUCCUACGGGAGGCAGCAGUGGGGAAUAUUGCACAAUGGGUGGAAGCCUGAUGCAGCAACGCCGUGUGCGGGAUGACGGCCUUCGGGUUGUAAACCGCUUUCGCUCAUGACGAAGCUUUGUGUGACGGUAGUGGGUAAAGAAGCACCGGCUAACUACGUG
rnacentral:rRNA from 1 species